UACGUAGGGUCCAAGCGUUAUCCGGAAUUACUGGGCGUAAAGAGUUGCGUAGGUGGCAUAGUAAGCGGGUAGUGAACUUGUGUGGCUUAACCAUACACCCAUUACCUGAACUGCUAAGCUAGAGAAUGAGAGAGGUCACUGGAAUUCCCUGUGUAGGAGUGAAAUCCGUAGAUAUAGGGAGGAACACCGAUGGCGUAGGCAGGUGACUGGCUCAUUUCUGACACUAAGGCACGAAAGCGUGGGGAGCAAACGGG
rnacentral:rRNA from 1 species